AGAGUUCGAUUAUGGCUCAGGAUGAACGCUGGCGGCGUGCUUAACACAUGCAAGUCGAACGGGAACUUACGAGAAGAUCUUUUCGGAGUGAAUUUUGUAAGGUCUAGUGGCGGACGGGUGAGUAACGCGUGGGUAACCUGCCCUGUACAGGGGGAUAACAGUUAGAAAUGACUGCUAAUACCGCAUAAGCGCACAACCUCGCAUGAGGGAGUGUGAAAAGCCGAGACGGUACAGGAUGGGCCCGCGUUGGAUUAGCUGGUUGGCGGGGUAACGGCCCACCAAGGCGACGAUCCAUAGCCGGCCUGAGAGGGUGGACGGCCACAUUGGGACUGAGACACGGCCCAA
rnacentral:rRNA from 1 species